rnacentral:misc_RNA from 1 species
GGCUCUUCUAGGUGGGCUCCUGCUUGGACUUCUCUGUGGAUUGGAUCUCACGGGGCUUCUGCUAAUACCUCUCUGAGGCCCGCUUCGUACUGGACUUCUACUAAUACUCCUACCUUUCCUUCCCCUACCUGGGCUCCUGCUAAUACUUCUACCUGGGCUUCGGCUACCAUUUCUAACAGGACUUCUGCUGACGCUCCUGCUACCAUUUCGAACAGGACUUCUGCUGAUGCUCCUGCUCCUCAAUGGUGCUCGAGGCGGGCUUCCACUAACACUUCGAC